rnacentral:rRNA from 1 species
CCUACGGGUGGCAGCAGUGGGGAAUAUUGCGCAAUGAGCGAAAGCCUGACACAGCGACGCCGCGUGAGGGAUGAAGGUCUUCGGAUUGUAAACCGCUGUCAGCAGGGAAGAACGGUUACUGUGGUAAUCAGCAGUGAAUUGACGGUACCUGCAAAGGAAGCAACGGCUAACUCCGUGCCAGCAGCCGCGGUAAUACGGAGGGUGCGAGCGUUAAUCGGCAUUAUUGGGCGUAAAGCGGUCCUAUGCGUUAUGUUAAAUCAGGGGUGAAAUCCCCGAGGUCAACGUGGGAACUGCCUUUGAAACUAGCAAACUGGAGUGAGUGAGAGGAAAGUGGAAUGCCAGGUGUAGCGGUGAAAUGCGUAGAUAUCUGGAAGAACACCAGUGGCGAAGGCGACUAACUGGCACAUAACUGACGCUGAGGAGCGAAAGCGUGGGUAGCAAACAGGAUUAGAUACCCGUGUAGUC